rnacentral:lncRNA from 1 species
ACACGGAAGCAACUGCAAGGACUAAGGGAGUCCGCAGCCUGGGGCAUUGGAGCCCUUCGCCAUACCCCUAGUGCGUCCUCACCCCCUCAGCCCGUGCUUCCCAGGGCGGGUAUCCUCGGAAGGCCCGGCCCUCACAGCCUUGGCAGGCCAAGGUCAGAAUGAUUGGAGUUGGGGGAUGGGACGGGGGCAUCCCUCCAGGACCAGCUCUCCAGGAGGCCCACAUUCUUUCUGCGGGAACCACUCCAAAGGGGCAUGCUGUUCCAGGCAGCCCCUCGCGCAGACACUCCGGCUUUGUCGAGGUAGGAGUACGCUUACUCUGGAAUUCUGCCUUGCUAGUGACUGACACAGGCUGUUAAAGUGCUUGACCCUGCAGGGGUGGGUGGGGGGUUCCUUGGAAAAGGUAAGGGCGCUGUGGAAAAGAGGCCCCUACAUAAAUCCUAAUCUCUUUGGGAUUUUGCCCCUGCUCGUGCAACUUUGGGGAUCGAACGGGAUGGGGGUGGGCAGCUCUGAGGCUUUUUACGGGUUCAGCCUUUCCCAUUUUCCCCCAUCGAAGGACCCAAUAGGAUGCAUAGGACAUUUCUAUGGGCAGCCUGGGACCAUCCCUGACACAGCAACCACCCCCGCUCCUCCCCACCAUAGGAUAUUUCUACUUCUUUGACAGAGUAACCUAAACCCCUGGGGGGGCUGGGAGCCACAGAUUCCUGUCAUUCCAAAGUGGGGGUGGGGGCAUGGCUAAAAAAAACGUGACCACGCUGUUCCUGGUGUGUAGGUAUGGAUUUAGAAAUCGGUCCACUCAGAACGCAGGGGCUUUCAAAAGUUUCCUCUAGGAAGCAUCUGUCAGUAUACCCUCUUAAUGUUUGACAGUUCUAAUCACAAUUAUAUUUAGAAUUUGAGAAACCCCCCUGUGUGUCUAAUGGCUGCCAGCGUGAUGCCAGAGAACCCUGGCAGGUGGCCUGCAGUAAGCAGAAGGCCCACACCUUCUGCAGAGCCAGGAGCAGUGCCCGAGUCCCCCGGUCUGUGUCUAUCCUUUCACCCACAUGGUCACUGUGGAGAUGACCAUCUGACCAGACUUCGGAGCCCCCAGGCAGAAGAAAGGCUGCAGGGGGCCUGGGAAGGUGGCCUGGGAGUAGGUGUGCAGGUGGGACCCAUCGCUUACACUGUAGAAGGACACUUCCCCGGCUUCGAAGUCCAGGAAGAUGCCCAUGUGGCUGGGAGGCUCCAUCAGCAUGACCGGGGUUAGGGCAGAGAAGGUGGAUAAGUACUUGGUCCCCUUGGACAGCUGCACCACCCAGAAGCCGUUUUCGGGGCACUUGGGGACCCUGUCUUUCCGGCUCACGUUGUCCCUGCACACACCCAGGGCCCACAACGCGUCCCCGGUGAUGUUCAUGCCCACCUCCCAGUAGUGCCUCCCAGAGGAGAAGGCCGUCUGGCCCACAGCACAGGGGUAAGCCACAAAUCGGUCCUUGCUGCAGAACCCACUGCCCUCCGGCGAAGAGCCGAGGUAGCGCCUCUGGCGGCUCUCAUACAGGAGGAGGUAGGGGUACGCGGAGGUGGCAUCAGGCACCACAUCCUCUGUAGAUGGGCGUGGUGGUGGAGAGAUGGGGAGAGGUGUGGGGCAUUCAGGGUCAAAGGUGGGAGUCCCCGGGCCCUAGUGGUGGAUGUGGCCAAUGGUCCCCUAACUCCGCAGAGGCCUCCCCUGCUGUGAAUCUGGGGUUACUUGAUGCUUCCACACACCAAUUGUGUGUGGGCCUUGGUGGCAAUAAGGUACAGGGGGCUGGGCAGAGAGACCACUGGGAACUCAACAAGAUUCAUCCCAUGAAUUAGAACCACCAGUAACGCCGCCCUACGAAGGCACAGUGAAUAGCCAGUGACCGUCACCAGGCAGUGCACUUGUAGAACCCCCCCCAUUGGUGGCUUCCGAGGCUAGGGGGUACAGUGGGGCAUCGCCAAGAGAUCCUGGGUCAGAGGUCCUGGCCCUGGGUGCCCACUUACCUAGAAAGCCUCUUAGCACUUCAAUCUGUCCGGGAACUCUGCACACAGUCCUGGGUCUGGUUGGGGGGGCAACCUCUGGGCACUGCACACUCACGUUGUUCUUCCUCCGGUGGGCACACACAGGGGAGUCUUAUUGACUCCCCUGGCCCGACAGUCUUAUUGUCCCCCCCGCCCACCGCUGCCACUGCCCCCGCCCCUGCCUGAGGGGACCACA